AAAAAAAAAAAAAAAGGAAAACAGUCGUUUUGUGCUACUUGUAUAGAAAUAAAAUAUUUUUGAUAGGUUAAACUUCUCAAAAUUACUGCUACUUUGAAUUCGAAUAAAACGCUACGGGGCCAAAGUAGAAUUUCAGCGUUCGCGUUUAUAAAUGAGUGAGGGCUCUUGUAAAGUGCGCUGUUUAUGAUUGGAAACUUUGUAAAUUGAAAAGGGUUUAAUCGUUUUAUCAAGUACAAAACACCAAAGGUAAUAUAACUUGAUCGCUAAUAAAAAGCAAACAAUUAGAAAAGAUGAGUUUGCCAACAAACUCACCAUCCAGAAGGUUUGCUAAUAUCCGAAACAGAUAAAUGAGCACAACCUUUUUUGUCACAUCCCGCCGAACUUACAGUCGUUCCCCACCAGCUAAAGUUACUUGAACCACCAGUAUAUACAACGCAAAAAUAUAUGAAUAGUCCAGCAAUGGCGACUCCGCAAUCCAUUGCAGCAGCAGUUAUCAAGUUAUAUUUCUUCCACCACGAAUAAUAACCACGACGAAUUAAAUAAUUGAAACAAAAGGCGACUGCAGCCCAGGUUGAAUAGUUGAUUCCUGUGACACUCGGUAUCUGAGCAGCGCCGCCUAGGAGGAGAGCUGGAUUGACAUGUUUCCAAGAGCUUUUAGGAAAACUUAUCUGAAGCAAAUAAACAACAACUGAAACGACAGCACCUACAAGGAAAAACCACAUUACAAAUGAAUAGCGACCAUCUGAUGAAAAAAUGUGAUUCCCAACUAACCCCCAGAUAAGAUGACUAUUGAAUUGAGUUUUUGGAGAUCGGCAAGUCAUGUUAUUUUCCGCAUUUGAAGUACACACGUCUCUAACGUGAUACAUGAUCCAACCAGUUACUGCGGAAUUAACCAGAGAUGACCAAAUUCCACUUGUAAACAAAAGAGCAGCGACUAACCGUGGGGGGACUUUCAUAUAAUGGCCAAUUUUGGCGCUUUGAGUCAUAUGCAUAGCGUGCUGUAAUGUCCCAAAUCCAAAUGAGUAGAAGUAGAGCAAUGCCAUAGGUUGUCCAUUAAACCAGAAAGCCGCCACUAUUUCGAAAAAAGCCUGCAUACUUAUAGUGAAGCUGGAACGAGACUCGAUUAAUGAAAGCGGUAUGUACAAAGCUGCUCCAAUAACCAUGGAGACCACAAAUCCAUAAGAUCUAAUCUGAAUAUCAUGCCAUCCUUCUGUAAAAGCGAAGCCUAAUCCUAAGGAAACUAUUAUUGAUGCCAAAUAAAAUCCCCAAUGAACACGCUUAUAUUUCUUUAAAAGUUUAGUGUGAAUGUCUGAAUAUUUAAAAACGUGACAGAUUGGCUGAAUGACAUCGGUAGGAAAACGAAGGAAAAAAGAUAUCAUCAUUGAAGAAAAUGCGCCUAAUGACAAGGCUAUGUUUAUGAUGAAAGCAAUAGGAAGCAUAACCGGAGAAUAUUCUUGAUACUUUUGAGUUACCAACUCCCAUUUCGAAUCAACCACUUUUUGAGCAUCAUAACUUUUCCCCGAAACAGUGUAAAUACUGUUAGUCAUAAUGGGGAAAUGCGCAACUUGCCAGUAAUUUUGAUAGUAAAGCCCUGGAAGUACAAUCCAAAUCCAAAACACAAAGGAUGUAAAAAUACAACAUGUAGCCCACCAGGGAGUGAUCAAAGGAUUACUUAAACUGGAAAUUUGGGCCCAGUCGAGCGUAAGAGGGAAAAGACCCAGUCCAGUCUUUACCCCAAAUAUUUGAGAUAGAACUGCACUGGAAGGCUUACACCAACUGAUCCAAGCACCCAAGGAGCUUAAAGCAGGAAAGAUCAGAUCAGGAAACCAAUACCAUAUGAAAGAAGCAACAAAAACUAUGAAAAAGUAACGAAGCCGAGAGAUUGUCCAGUUGCAGGCCUUAGUAUUAUCAUUGUCGUGAAAUAUCUUGAAAAGUGCGCAGCUACUCAAAACAGAAGGCCAAAUCAAUGUUGGCGGAUACACUAGAAUUGGCAAAGCGAGACCUGACCAUCCGAAUGACGAAAGAUAACUACAUAAAUUGAAUAAAAUGGCUCUACCAAUUCCGAUGUUAACUCCAAAAAACUUUAUUUGUUCGAUAAUUAAAGUGUUAACUAGUUUUGCGGAGACACAAAUGUUGACGAAUAUAUAUAGGCAGGCAUGUUCCUUUCGGUUGAAUCUCCCUGGAUUAAGUGAAACACGUAUACCCCUUGGGAGUUUUAUUUCCCACUGUGGAAUAAUAUAAUACCAGAGCUGACCCAAUGGAUAUGCUACAAGAAGAGCAACGAUAGCUGCAAUGGAGACCGAAGGAUAACGCAUCAAAAAGAAAGCAUCAACGCCUGCAAUAACGGUAGCAAGACCAAAUGCCAGUAUCCACAUCCUGAAAGCUACAAAGAAAGUGAGAAGUUAAUAUCAAGGUUGAAGGGAUAGUAAUGGAAAUCCUGAAUGACAGCUUCUAAAAAAAAAAAAAAAAGGAAAAAGUAGGAUUAGCUUUGACUUACUCGAUGCGGGUAUAUCAACAUCGUCCGUUACAGGUACAAUUGCAUCAAUGUCCCUGACGGUAAUAUCGUAAACAGCAUUUCCUGGUACUGAGGAUUCUCUUUCAGUAAUGUCGUCAACAAACUUUUCGUGACCAGCAUAAUUUAUGAUUUCAAAAGAUUUCUUUUGCUCAUCGAAUUCAUGAAAUUUCGAGGCGAUAGGGCUCGAGUUUUCUACGAUAUGGUCUUUGUUGUUUUCAACGCUUUUCGAUUCAAGUCCUUUGAAACCACGAGUAACGUAAGUGAUAAAUUUUGGAGUUUUCAUCCUUCAAAAAUGAAAUUGUUACUUAACCCAGGACCAAUUUGAUCAAAGUAAUCUUUAUCAGAUCAGCAGCUUUGGAGAAAGAAAUAAGACUAUAUUUAUACGAUUGAUGUGCAAGCUGGAGUAAUCGCAAGGGUUUCUAAAGGAUACCAACAACGAAUAAUAAAAACCUGUGCAUGAGUUCAAAGUUACGAAUUAUCUCCACAUCUUUUUCAUCACGUUUAUACUCUGCACAGCGACAAGCCGACUUACGAUGGUCUGGAAGUUGCUGCCUAGAAGCCUUCCCAAAUUCAAAUAGUGAGAAUUGAUCUGUUAAGAUUAGUUGCAGCACGGUUUACUCACCAUAUGGCUAAUUUCGGAACAACAUCUUAACUCUCGCCGAAUCACAAAGCUAGUAGAUAUAAAACCAUUGCGCUCUUGCAUUCCAGUGAAGACAGCGUAUUAGAAGACAAUCUCAGCCCAUCAUACAGUUACUGACAAAACGAUCCGGAAUUAUAAGCUUCUCGAACAAAUUAUCUAAGAUGGAAUGAGCGACUCCAGAUGUACUUUUUUCGGUAAAUUUUCGUCAUAAAGAGAUGUAUUUGUAACCAACUUUUAUAGAAAUCCUAAGCUUAAGAUUGAAGAAUAAUCUGAUAAGAUAGUCAUCUGAUAUAGUUAAACAUCGACUAUUUGAGGUAAUAAGUAUGCUAAUGAAAGAUGUUUUUGUCGAACUGAUUAUUGAAACCUAUUAUCAUAUGGAAAAUAAAACCUUUCAAUCCCUUUUUAUGGAACUAGCCCAGAAUCCAUUAAAGUCAGUGUACCUGCGAAUUGGAUUUAGAAUCCUCUAUUUGAUGUCAUGGUAAUGGAAUAUUUUGCAAUUAUAAGUAUUUACAAACAAAUAUUAGGGAUGAAGAGAUUAAAUUUGAUAGUCUCACGCUGGAGUAGCUUAAUGAGUCAUGACAGCUAUAUACGGAAAAGACGGG